UCCCUACUGCCUCCCCGGCGACGGUAUCGCAUUUGGGGGAGAGAUACUAUCACAUCCUCAUUUAAUCUCAACGAAACCCUAACCAAUGGAACCUACAAAUUAACCACUAUUAUGAAUCCUUGUUAAAUCAAUUUUUCGAUGGAUUCUUCCUUCGCACUUCAAUUGGCCUCCAGAUUUGUCUUCCCCGCCCCAAAUUUCUGAAGAAUCUCUUUUGGAUGUUGGUUUUCAAUUGCAUAAAGAGGUGAUUCAGGUGGAAUCGUCUACCUCUGAUGAGCGGCAAACAAAAGCGUAGGUCGAGCUUAACCCAAAUAUAGAGCGAAGGUGUUCUAAUGUUCUGCCCACAGUUUUCUCGGCUAAAGAUUGGUUGAUAAAGAGAAAUUCCAGGUACGUAUGUGAGGAGGGAAUGUUCCCUAAAAGAACGAGAACUUUUAUGCGGGCGGCUCAUUGAUCGGCUUAUACGACCAUUUUUCCCUGCUGGAUUUUAUCAUGAGGGUCAGGUGAUGUCUAGUGUGCUUUCUUCAAAUGAGAAACAAGUUCCAGAUGUAAUAUGUUCUGCACUUGCUAUGUUUAAGUAUUUUGCUAUUACUUAAGUUUCCUCAACUUAAUUUGAAGGUUACGUUCAUAUCAAUUUAUGAUAUAUGAACAGGUGAAGGCGCCCUUUACUAGGGCU